CCUACGGGAGACAGCAGUGGGGAAUAUUGCACAAUGGGGGAAACCCUGAUGCAGCAACGCCGCGUGAGUGAAGAAGUAUUUCGGUAUGUAAAGCUCUAUCAGCAGGGAAGAAGAAAGACGGUACCUGACUAAGAAGCCCCGGCUAACUACGCGCCAGCAGCCGCGGUAAUACGUAUGGAGCAAGCGUUAUCCGGAUUUACUGGGUGUAAAGGGAGCGCAGGCGGCCUAGCAAGUCUGAUGUGAAAUGCCGGGGCUCAACCCCGGAGUUGCAUUGGAAACUGUGAGGCUGGAGUGUCGGAGAGGCAGGCGGAAUUCCUAGUGUAGCGGUGAAAUGCGUAGAUAUUAGGAGGAACACCAGUGGCGAAGGCGGCUUACUGGACUGUAACUGACGUUGAGGCUCGAAAGCGUGGGGAGCAAACAGGAUUAGAUACCCGAGUAGUC
rnacentral:rRNA from 1 species